UCUCUCGGUGGCGCCGGCGAAGAGCGGACCUUGGAGCGUUGAGAGGAAGAGAGGUUAGUUACAGCCGAACCUUCUUUCUCCCCGAUCCCUUCCUCCCUUCUCUGAUCUCAGUGAACAAUGGCGACGGAUCUCGAUCGGUGGAUUUCGCCGGCUGUCGGGAGGGAACCAAGGGCAUCGGCGUUGGAUCAGGCCAGCAUCGAUUGUUUGGAGGAGGUGGUUCUUUCUGGGAAGCAGAGACUGGUAUUUUGGUCCCGGCCACCACAACUCUGUUGGAUCGAUCUCUUCUUCGUAUCAGUGAUCGUCUCCGGUGAUUGAAGGGUGCAGAGAGGAUGCGAUGUGCUUAUUUUAGAUACUGGAUUGGGAAGUGCAGAGAAUCAAGCAAGGGUCAAGGAGUUGCUUCAUGUGGAGGAAUCAAAACUAGAGGAGGAUGAGGGAAAUACCACUCCAGCAGUGAGAUGGGUUCGAGAUGAUAAAUAUGAUUGCAUCCGAUUAAAGCAUUGCAAGGUGAGCUAUAUUCACUGUGUAUCC